AGCGAACGCUGGCGGCAGGCCUAACACAUGCAAGUCGAGCGCCGUAGCAAUACGGAGCGGCAGACGGGAGAGUAACACGUGGGAACGUGCCCUUCAGUUCGGAACAACCCAGGGAAACUUGGGCUAAUACCGGAUACGUCCGUAAGGAGAAAGAUUUAUCGCUGAAGGAUCGGCCCGCGUCUGAUUAGCUAGUUGGUGAGGUAACGGCUCACCAAGGCGAUGAUCAGUAGCUGGUCUGAGAGGACGAUCAGCCUCACUGGGACUGAGACACGGCCCAGACUCCUACGGGAGGCAGCAGUGGGGAAUAUUGGACAAUGGGCGCAAGCCUGAUCCAGCCAUGCCGCGUGGGUGAUGAAGGCCCUAGGGUUGUAAAGCCCUUUCGGCGGGGAAGAUAAUGACGGUACCCGCAGAAGAAGCCCCGGCUAACUUCGUGCCAGCCGCCGCCGUAA
rnacentral:rRNA from 1 species